rnacentral:lncRNA from 1 species
CUUCCUCUCUCUUCUCUCUCAUCUCUCUCCCUUCUUUUUAUCUCUUCUCUCUUUCUCCUUUCUCUCUCCCUCUUCUUUCUCCCUUCUCUCUUUUCUUGUUCUCUCUCUCCUUAUUUCUCUCUUCUUUUUUCUCUCUUUCCUCUUCUUGUUACUUCGCUCUUUCUUUCUGUCUUUUAUGUUUCUUUCUAUUCCUUCCCCUUCUCUCCCCUCUCUUUGCCUCUCUUCUCUCCCUCUCCACUCUAGGCCACCGACUAAGUUGCACCCCCUCUCUAUCUUUCUCCCUUUCUCUCUCUUCUUCCCUCUUACGAGCUCGUGGUGG